GGCAAAUAUUUGCUGCAAGUUUGCAGCAAACAUUGCCGCAACCAUUUUACCAUGCAAAUGAAGUUUGCGGCAAGCUUGUUGCAAACAUAAUUAUGCAAAUUAGAUUUGCCGCAAGCUUGCGGCAAUUGUUUGCUGCAAGCUUGCGGCAAUUGUUUGUU
rnacentral:sRNA from 1 species